rnacentral:hammerhead_ribozyme from 1 species
AUCCAGCUGACGAGUGCCAGAUGGGACGAAGUGACACACAUCCUGGAU